rnacentral:snoRNA from 1 species
AACCCCACCUUCACUUUGCCACCUGGAACCUUCCUGUCUUUGGUGGUCAUUCACGUGGGGGAAAGCACUUCAUCCUGUAACACCCCAGCUUAACUUUCUGUUUCGACUUUGGGGUGUGUUGAGGAGACAGCGAAGGACAGCAGUU